ACGAACGCUGGCGGCAUGCCUAACACAUGCAAGUCGCACGAGACCUUCGGGUCUAGUGGCGCACGGGUGCGUAACGCGUGGGAACCUGCCCUUAGGUUCGGAAUAACUCCCCGAAAGGGGUGCUAAUACCGGAUAAUGUCUUCGGACCAAAGAUUUAUCGCCUUUGGAUGGGCCCGCGUUGGAUUAGCUAGUUGGUAGGGUAAAGGCCUACCAAGGCGACGAUCCAUAGCUGGUCUGAGAGGAUGAUCAGCCACACUGGGACUGAGACACGGCCCAGACUCCUACGGGAGGCAGCAGUGGGGAAUAUUGGACAAUGGGCGAAAGCCUGAUCCAGCAAUGCCGCGUGAGUGAUGAAGGCCUUAGGGUUGUAAAGCUCUUUUACCCGGGAUGAUAAUGACAGUACCGGGAGAAUAAGCUCCGGCUAACUCCGUG
rnacentral:rRNA from 1 species